CAAGGUUGUCAGAACCGGACCGGCCGGUCGGACCGGGAACCGGGCUUACAUGCGGUUCGGUUUAGACUGAAAAACGGACAGCAAACGAACCGGUAAAAAAAGUUCGAACCGGAGUCGAACCGGAACAAACCGGUGAACCGGCCGGUGCGGUUUAGCGGUUCGGCCAUUUUUGAUUUUUUUUUCUUCACUUUUCCACUUAAUCUCUGUUAUUUUCUUCAUCUUUCUCGGUUCAUAAUCAAUGGCAUAAAAAUCAAUAAUAAUAAAAAAAAACCUUUCUUUUUCCUUCUCCUUCUAUAUUCAUUUGUUGGAUCUGAAAAUGCAUCUGAUUGGUUUGAUUUGUGUGUUGUGCUUAGAGGUGGGAACAGGCCAGGCCGGCCUACAUGGCCUUAAGGCCUAGCCUACAUAGGCUCAGGCCAGGCCAGCCUAUUUCUUUAAAUAGAGCAGGCCAAUGUUUUUUUAUAAGCCUAUUUAGCUAAAAAGGCCAGGCCGCAGGUCAUUAAAAAAGCCUUUGAGGCCUACUAGGCCGGCCUAUUUAAGUUAACAUGAAUAAUAUUUUUAUUACGAUUAUUAUUUAUAUAUUAAAAUUUAUACUUUGAUUAAAUUAUAAAUCUAUUAACUUUUUAAGUAAUUUAAGUUUAUU
rnacentral:lncRNA from 1 species